GAUCCUGGCUCAGGAUGAACGCUGGCGGCGUGCUUAACACAUGCAAGUCGAACGAAGCACUUAAGAUUGAUUCUUCGGAUGAAGUCUUUUGUGACUGAGUGGCGGACGGGUGAGUAACGCGUGGGUAACCUGCCUCAUACAGGGGGAUAACAGUUAGAAAUGACUGCUAAUACCGCAUAAGCGCACAGGGUCGCAUGACCUGGUGUGAAAAACUCCGGUGGUAUGAGAUGGACCCG
rnacentral:rRNA from 1 species